ensembl:lncRNA
GAAAGUAGCUUGAUGUUUUGCCUCAUGCUCAUUGAUUUUAAAGAUUUAGGUUUGUUCACUUUAUUUAUUUAUUUUUAGAUCCUCACAUAAAGUAGUCAGCUCUGGCUCCCUCAGCAACCUGUUCGCUUAAGUGAGACCUGUCAAGCAACAGCAUUUCACAGUGGGAGCCACAUUUGUGGAUGCAGGAGAAGGGAAGGAAGUUGCCAGCAAUGGAAAUUGACUUCAUCUACCUCUUCUGAGUGCAUUCUGCAAGCAGAGGACAGAUAUUUCUCCUUGAAAUUCAGCAAUUUCCUUCAUCUCCCAGUUCAGAGAGGUCACUCAGCAAUGUGA